rnacentral:rRNA from 1 species
GAUGAACGCUGGCGGCGUGCCUUAAGCAUGCAAGUCGAACGAUGAAGUUUUUGUAGCAAUACAGAAGCUGAUUAGUGGCGGACGGGUGAGUACUAGCAAGGAACGUACCCUCUACUUCGGGAUAGCCCGCCGAAAGGUGGGGUAAUACCGGAUGUGGACGCAAGUCUAAAGGGCGUAACAACCCGGUAGUGGAGCGGCCUUGUGCUUAUCAGUUUGUUGGUGGGGUAACGGCCUACCAAGACGAUGACGAGUAGGGGGCGUGAGAGCGUGGCCCCCCACAAUGGCACUGAGACACGGGCCAUACAUCUACGGAUGGCAGCAACUGGGAAUCGUUGACAAUGGGCGAAAGCCUGAUCACGCGACGCCGCGUGUGGGAUGAAGGCCUUCGGGUUGUAAACCACUUUUGCCAGAUCAUCGAGAUUUGGCGAAUAAGCGCCUACAAACUACGUGCCAGCAGUCGCGGUAAUACGUAGGGCGCAAGCGUUAUCCGGAUUCACUGGGCGUAAAGAGUCGUGUAGGUGGUACACCGCAUCGCAAUUGAAAUGUCGCGGCCCAACCGCGGAAUUGGUUGCGAGAUGGGUGUGCUAGAGGAUGCGAGAGGAAAAGGGAACUGAUGGUGAAGCAGUGAAAUGCGUUGAUAUCAUCAGGAACACCGAAGGCGAAGGCACUUUUCUGGCGCAUUCCUGACACUGAGACACGAAAGCUAGCGGAGCGAAGCAGAUUAGAGACCUGCGUAGUCCUAGCCCUAAACGCAUGUCUGCUAGAUGCUGGAUUCAUUUUGUAUUCAGUGUCGUAAGCUAACGCGUUAAGCAGACCGCCUGGGGAGUACGAUCGCAAGAUUAAAACUCAAAGGAAUUGACGGGGACCCGCACAACCGGUGGAGCGUGUGGUUCAAUUCGAGACAAAGCGAAAAACCUUACCAGGGCUUGACAUGCUUCUGCACACCCAGGGAAACUUGGGUUUCUUCGAGAGUGAAGCACAGCUGCUGCAUGGCUGUCGUCAGCUCGUGCCGUGAGGUGUUCUCUUAAGUGAGAGAACGAGCGCAACCCCCAUCCAAUGUUACAUGUUUCAUUGGAGACUGCCCCGAUCAUAUCGGGGAGGAAGGAGGGAACGACGUCAAGUCAGCAUGGCGCUUAUGCCCUGGGUUACACACACCCUACAAUGGCGAAUAACAAUGGGAAGCAAUACGGCAACGUGGAGCAAAUCCCCACUAAAUUUCGCCUCAGUUCAGAUUGAGGGCUGCAACUCGCCCUCAUGAAGUCGGAAUCGGUAGUAAUCGCGGAUCAGCAGGUCGCGGUGAAUACGUUCUCGGGUCU